rnacentral:lncRNA from 1 species
AUGAAUGGGCCUAAAGGGCCAGCGCCUAACACACAGCCCAGACCGCACUCAUCAACAUGCAGGCCCCUCGCCCCCACCACCAGGCGAGGGGGCUUUCACGGGUCCUCAGCGCAUCCAAGUCACGGUCCAGCAGCCGGCCGAAUCCGGGGCUGCGGCCCAGUCUCCAGAAAAGGGUUCUGUUUUUCCCAUGACCGGGCCAGACCCUCAACUCAGCAGACAACACCACCACCCCCUCUUCCCACACCACCUCUGUCCCCCCAACCACAGAAAGGCUCCCCCCACCCUCUGCUCCAGCCUGUUGCCCCAGAGAGGACCCAGGCCAGCAUCUCUGGGCCUGGGAGCCGGGGCGAGACCUUGACCACUCCAGGUGGCCCGGCCCAUGAGAUGGGGGUUUGGCUGCAGGACAGCCCCCCACCCUCCCCCCUUCCCCGCGCCGGCCCAGCACUCACCCCCAUUCUCCGCUCCUCUCCCUCACUGCCUCACCGAGACAGAAGCGCUCCACCGGCCAUCUCGGUGCCUGUGCCAUUGAGCUCAGGGCUAGGGACCUGGGAACGCGUCAGCAUCCUUGCUGUGACCCCAGCCCGCCUCCGCCGCGGCCAGCCCCGCUCGGGACUUAGCGCUGCAGGAGCUUCUCGAAGGCCUAGACGUGCGCGGGCUGCCAGCCUGGGCAGGGAGCCGUGCGGCAGCCUCCCGGCCAAGUACCGGCCUGCCUCUCUCUGCUCGGAUGCCUCCCGUAACAGGGAGCUCCCUCUCUCCCUGAGCAGCCAGCUCGGGGCUCGCACACCGAGCUGCUUCGCCGAGCCCUCCCCGCUUUCUGCAUCUGCCUCCGCGGCUCCGACGCAGCCCCCUCGCCCCCUCUGCCCUUGGCUCUUUGCGGGCGGCACGCUCCUUCCCGGGGCUCUCCAGAGCGAGCCCCCCGUCCACGGUGGGAUCAGGUUAGGGGUUCCCCAGCCCCGUCCGAUCUCGGCCGUCGACACCUGUCCCGGGGCGCGUCUGCCCCGGCCCGCCCGCAUCCGGGACGGAGCCCUUUGCCCUGCUGUUCUGCAGAGAGCCCAGGGGAGGGCGCGGGUCUCCCCUCCCGGGUCCAGCUGCUCAGGAGCUAUCUGUUAA